GACGAACGCUGGCGGCGUGCUUAACACAUGCAAGUCGAGGGCACUUUGGGGGCAACCCUGGAGUGACCGGCGAACGGGUGCGUAACACGUGAGCGACCUUGCCUCGUGGUGGGGGAUAGCCGGCCCAACGGCCGGGUAAUACCGCAUAUGGUGCUGACUCCGCAUGGAGACGGCAGCAAAGCCCUGGAGCAAUCCAGUGGCGCCACGAGGGGGGCUCGCGGCCUAUCAGCUAGUUGGGGGGUAAUGGCCCACCAAGGCGACGACGGGUAGCUGGUCUGAGAGGAUGGCCAGCCACAUUGGGACUGGAGA
rnacentral:rRNA from 1 species